GAUGAACGCUGGCGGCGUGCCUAAUACAUGCAAGUCGAGCGAACAGACGAGGAGCUUGCUCCUCUGACGUUAGCGGCGGACGUGUGAGUAACACGUGGAUAACCUACCUAUAAGACUGGGAUAACUUCGGGAAACCGGAGCUAAUACCGGAUAAUAUAUUGAACCGCAUGGUUCAAUAGUGAAAGACGGUUUUGCUGUCACUUAUAGAUGGAUCCGCGCCUCAUUAGCUAGUUGGUAAGGUAACUGCUUACCAAGGCAACGAUGCGUAGCCGACCUGAGAGGGUGAUCGGCCACACUGGAACUGAGACACGGUCCAGACUCCUACGGGAGGCAGCAGUAGGGAAUCUUCCGCAAUGGGCGAAAGCCUGACGGAGCAACGCCGCGUGAGUGAUGAAGGUCUUCGGAUCGUAAAACUCUGUUAUUAGGGAAGAACAAAUGUGUAAGUAACUAUGCACGUCUUGACGGUACCUAAUCAGAAAGCCACGGCUAACUACGUG
rnacentral:rRNA from 1 species